UACGAGAGUAACUGCUCGUACCUUGACGGUACCUUAUUAGAAAGCCACGGCUAACUACGUGCCAGCAGCCGCGGUAAUACGUAGGUGGCAAGCGUUGUCCGGAAUUAUUGGGCGUAAAGCGCGCGCAGGCGGUUCUUUAAGUCUGAUGUGAAAGCCCACGGCUCAACCGUGGAGGGUCAUUGGAAACUGGAGAACUUGAGUACAGAAGAGGAAAGCGGAAUUCCACGUGUAGCGGUGAAAUGCGUAGAGAUGUGGAGGAACACCAGUGGCGAAGGCGGCUUUCUGGUCUGUAACUGACGCUGAGGCGCGAAAGCGUGGGGAGCAAACAGGA
rnacentral:rRNA from 2 species